rnacentral:rRNA from 1 species
GAGUUUGAUCCUGGCUCAGGAUAAACGCUGGCGGCGUGCCUAAAACAUGCAAGUCGAACGGGCACCCUUACGGGGUGUCAGUGGCGGACGGCUGAGUAACACGUGGGUGACCUGCCCUCGCGCGGGGGAUAACUGCCCGAAAGGGUGGCUAAUACCGCAGACCUCAUGCGUUCGGUCGCAUGAGUGAACCUUCGGGGUGUGAGGAGGGGCCCGCGGCCGAUUAGCUGGCUGGUGGGGUAACGGCCUACCAGGGCUGCGAUCGGUAGCUGGUCUGAGAGGAUGAUCAGCCAGACUGGGACUGCGAACGGCCCAGACUCCUACGGGAGGCAGCAGUUAGGAAUUUUGGGCAAUGGGCGGAAGCCUGACCCAGCAACGCCGCGUGGGUGAUGAAGGCCCUCGGGUCGUAAAGCCCUUUUUCCCA